rnacentral:sRNA from 1 species
AGCGUGUUCCAUGGGAACCGGUACAAGCAGACUCUAUAGUGCUCUCGCCAAGACACUGAACAGCAGCGCUGCCUCCCAGCACCCAGAGUAUUUGGUGUCACCUGACCCAGAACAUCUGGAGCCCAUUGAUCCUAAAGAGCUUCUUGAGGAAUGCAGGGCCGUCCUGCACACCCGACCUCCCCGGUUCCAGAGGGAUUUUGUGGAUCUGAGGACAGAUUGCCCUAGUACCCACCCACCUAUCAGGGUUAUGCAGUGGAACAUCCUCGCCCAAGCUCUUGGAGAAGGCAAAGACAACUUUGUACAAUGCCCUGUUGAAGCACUCAAAUGGGAAGAAAGGAAAUGUCUCAUCCUAGAAGAAAUCCUGGCCUACCAGCCUGAUAUAUUGUGCCUCCAAGAGGUGGACCACUAUUUUGACACCUUCCAGCCACUCCUCAGUAGACUAGGCUAUCAAGGCACAUUUUUCCCCAAACCCUGGUCACCUUGUCUAGAUGUAGAACACAACAAUGGACCAGAUGGUUGUGCCUUAUUUUUUCUUCAAAACCGAUUCAAGCUAGUCAACAGUGCCAAUAUUAGGCUGACAGCCAUGACAUUGAAAACCAACCAGGUGGCCAUUGCACAGACCCUGGAGUGCAAGGAGUCAGGCCGACAGUUCUGCAUCGCUGUCACCCAUCUAAAAGCACGCACUGGCUGGGAGCGGUUUCGAUCAGCUCAAGGCUGUGACCUCCUUCAGAACCUGCAA